rnacentral:lncRNA from 1 species
UUGAGAAGUACAGUUCAUAAAUAAUUCAUAUAUUAAAUUAUUGUUCGCUAUGGGUCUGCGAGAGGAUGAUCAUAGUUAUAAGAGGAGUGUGCUGUUACUCCUUAUUUUGAUUGGUUCAGUUGUUAACCAAGUGAAAGCAGCAGAAGAUUAUGGAGAUCCUGAAGGGCCAUUUGAUAUAGGGCCUUGGAAACCCAAAGAAAAUAAAAAAUUAACAGAUUGCACAAAUGCAUGUAAGAAGAAGUAUAAUGCCUGUGUGAAGGGGAAUUGUCCAAAAACAGAAAUGAACAAUUUAGAAGUUUGUGUGAAGGCCUGUGCGUUCAAAACAAUUGAGGGAUGAUUUAAAUCCAUCUUCUUUCUAGAAACAAGCGAAUGAGGAAUAAAAUUGUUUACUUAAUAUAAUUGUCUGAUGCAAUUUUCUAGGCUACAGUUUUAAAAAUAUUGUUAGUUUCAUGCUUUAGACAAUACAUUUUGUAGUAUGAAAAUAAACUCUUGUAUAUCAUUUUUGGACAACAAUUUUCAUCCUCGCUGUUGUCUGAUGAAUGUUGUUUGAUUAUGUUUUCCUUAUAAUACAAGGAGGUA